CUAUGAAUGGCAUUAAACAUUGACGAGUCAGCCAGGAGAACACUGUGUUCUGUCCUCCUGCAGAGUGACUUGGAAGUGCAGAUGAGCUCAGGGCUGUGAGCAGAGGCUGGGCUUUUGCUCCUUGGCAGAGACUUUGUGGGCACAGCCACCCUUGUGGGAUAUGUGAGGCAAAGGCAAUUUGUGCUUUGGCUGCUGAGAUCAAACUCAGCUGGCCUUUCUGAUCAGGGAUAAGUCAUGGGGAAAGGCUGGCCAACCACCUGGAGGGGCCUGCUUUGCUAUUUGAAGUGGUAGAAAUAGUCUUGGAUCUGAGUUUCCACACCAGCCAUUUUCCAUCCUCAGGUGUCGGGAUCUUAAGGCACAUCUUACUGGAAAAAGUGUCCAUGUGUGCCAGGAACGAUUUCUCUUCAUUUCCACAACUUGUAGGUCACAGAAGCAGAGCUUGCAAUGCAGCCUGUUGGAGGCUCAGCAGCAGGUAUGGGAGCUGGAGAUCACCAAGAGCCAACUGGAAGGCCAAGUUCGCACAGCCAUGCAGGCCAAGGAGGUGAUACUUGGUGAGAGCCUCAUGCACUUUGUGUCUGGCGAUGGCCCUGCCUAGUGCAGUUACUCCGAAGGCAGCUCUGUCUGCAGGGCUUCCAAGGAGUGAAGGAGCUGGGAACAGGUCCCUCCUUGGCUAAAACGGAAAGGGCUUAAGGUCAGCAGAGUCUCUGAGUGUUGUUCAUGCUUGCAGAGGAUGUGAGGGGCCUUCGUCAGGAGCUGCAAGCUCUCGGAUCUCUCAGCAAGCAGCAACUGGAAAAAAAGGCUCAGCAGCUCCGCUCUACAGAAGAGCAGUUCAGCCAGGUUCUGAGACAAUGGCAAUCUGCUCAGGAAGAGGAAAAGAGGAAGCUCCUGCAAGAACAGGAAAGGCAGCUGGAACAACAGCGUUUGGAGGCUUGGGAGCAGCUGGAGCAAAGGGAAAACCUGGUGGCAGAGGUACAGAGGGAGCAGGAGAAAAGGUUGCUUGAGAUGAAGCAGGAAGCUGCCAUCACGCAAGCGGAACAAGAAAAGAUAAGAACUAGAGCCAGCCCAGAGGCAACGCGUGUGCAAAGAGAGUUUCUGUGUUGUUUUGGGCUCCUCUGGGCUCCUUCUGGGCAAUGCUUUCCUGGACAUUGUCUGGGUGGGAUUGUCCCUUAGCUGUCCCUACUUCAACAAGAGAAAAAGAACAAAAUGCUUUUGGGAAAGUGUGAGCACAUCAACCUUGCUUGCCACACAAGUGUUGUGUGGGAAGUUUAAUGCCAUCUUCUCUUUGUUUCUCUGCAGCUUCAGCACCAGGAGGCUACUCUCUUGCAGAGGGUGUACCAGCUGCAGCGAAAGCUUGACCAUAGGCAGCGGAAGGUAGAGCUGCUGAGGCAGGAGCUGGAGGAACAGCGGGAACAUUGGCAGGACGAGCUGCAGGCAGUGCUGCAGGAAGCUCAGUGGAAGAUGAAGGCAAUGGAAGAGAAGCAUAAGGAGGAAAUGGAAAGGAUGCUGCAGUACAGGCUGGCAGAGCAAGAGCAGGUGAGUGAAAGAGCAGUAGGCACUGCAGUCAUGCAACAAGUGGUCUCUGCCCUUCUCACCUUUCCCCUGCGGAGCAGCAGGAGGAUGGAGGCAAUGCCUCUGGCUGCCAUGGGCUGUGCUCUCCAUUGCAGCUGCUCAGAAGGACACUUCCUGGGCUGCUGAAUCUCAGCUGCUGCCCUGGGCAGCAGGGCUAGUGCUUUGGCUGUGGGCCAGCAAUGCUCAGAAUGUAUUUCUGCUGGCCUCCUAGUGCUCGCUUUCUUUUUGGGGCUUUGUUCAGGUCAACAUGGUGACCCACACGGAUUCUGAACAAGUUGUCCCUGUCCAUGGUGAAUGCAGUCCUCAGGAUAGGGUGAAAUUGAAACUUGUUCUUUCCCUUCCACAGUCUCUCCUAGGGCUGGCUGUGACAAGCUGUAGUCUCUGCCUGCUUGGUGGGGUUGGACUUGAGCUGGAAGAGUUGACAGCUCAGCUUGCAGCCUAACACAAGUGUUGUUCCUAAGGGCUUGCCUUUGAUAUGCGCUCUCUGGGGCAUCUCUGCCAGCCACCUUUGUGACACCAACCAAUUUCUUGUUCCAGAUGGACGUGGGCGCUGCAGCAGCAUCUUCCAAAGGAGCCUUCCCUCCGCAGCCUGAAAACCUGAGCAGGAGCAGUUCGUCCCGCCCAAGGCAGGAGUCAGAGCAGCAGAGAGAGAAGUAUUGCCUGAAGCUGCUGAGGAGUGUUGUGAGCGUGGGAGAUCCAGAGAAGAAAUACACUGGAUGGGAACUUAUUGGUAGUGGGGGUUUUGGAACUGUCUAUAAGGCCUUUGACACUGCCACAGGACAAGCGGUAAGUGCCAACAGCCCUCGCAGAUUCUGCUGCUCUGGAGUGCUUUCCCUUGCAAUGUGACUUGUGGCCAGAGCUUUGGGCCACCUGUCCUUGCUGCAAAGGCUGUCCCACAGAAGCAGCCUACCUAGAGGCAGCCUGCAGAAUGCAUUUUGGACAGACUUUGUCUUGCAUCCUGAAUGGAUGCAGGGAUGGUGGUGGUGUGUUUCAGAGAAGGACACGCUAGUCCAAAGUUACUGGAUAAAUAUGCAUAGAGUAAUUGAUGGCAACAGCCAUCGUUCCGGCCCAAUUCCUCUUAAGCCCAGGUUCAGACACAGAUGGGAUCUCCCAUUAUCUUCCAUCAUGUGGUUUGGUUUGGUAUAAUACAAGAUCUAAAGAAGGAGAGAUUUUGUCUGGAGUGUGGUUUUGCAUUUCAGUCUGAGGGAA